UCCCUGGUGGCUCAGAUGGUAAAGCGUCUGCCUGUAGUGCAGGAGACCUGGGUUCAAUCCCUGGGUAGGGAA
rfam:Ovis aries breed Texel chromosome 18, whole genome shotgun sequence.